CUUCCGGAGCUAACGCGUUAAAUCGACCGCCUGGGGAGUACGGCCGCAAGGUUAAAACUCAAAUGAAUUGACGGGGGCCCGCACAAGCGGUGGAGCAUGUGGUUUAAUUCGAUGCAACGCGAAGAACCUUACCUACUCUUGACAUCCAGAGAACUUUCCAGAGAUGGAUUGGUGCCUUCGGGAACUCUGAGACAGGUGCUGCAUGGCUGUCGUCAGCUCGUGUUGUGAAAUGUUGGGUUAAGUCCCGCAACGAGCGCAACCCUUAUCCUUUGUUGCCAGCGGUUCGGCCGGGAACUCAAAGGAGACUGCCAGUGAUAAACUGGAGGAAGGUGGGGAUGACGUCAAGUCAUCAUGACCCUUACGAGUAGGGCUACACACGUGCUACAAUGGCAUAUACAAAGAGAAGCGACCUCGCGAGAGCAAGCGGACCUCAUAAAGUAUGUCGUAGUCCGGAUUGGAGUCUGCAACUCGACUCCAUGAAGUCGGAAUCGCUAGUAAUCGUAGAUCAGAAUGCUACGGUGAAUACGUUCCCGGGCCUUGCACACACCGCCCGUCACACCAUGGGAGUGGGUUGCAAAAGAAGUAGGUAGCUUAACCUUCGGGAGGGCGCUUACCACUUUGUGAUUCAUGACUGGGGUGAAGUCGUAACAAGGUAACC
rnacentral:rRNA from 1 species